rnacentral:misc_RNA from 1 species
GAUGAAGAACGUAGCGAAAUGCGAUACGUAAUGUGAAUUGCAGAAUUCAGUGAAUCAUCGAAUCUUUGAACGCAUAUUGCGCUCACUGGUAUUCCGGAGAGCAUGCUUGUUUGAGUAUCAGUAAACACCUCAACUUCCAUAUCUUUUUUGAAAUGGGAGUUGGACUUGAGUGAUCCCAACGCUUUUCCUCACCGAAAAGUGGCGGGUUACUUGAAAUGCAGGUGCAGCUGGACUUUUCUCUGAGCUAUAAGCAUAUCUAUUUAGUCUGCCUAAAAAACAGAUUAUUACCUUUGCUGCAGCUAACAUAAAGGAGAUUAGUUCUUGUGCUGACUGAUGCAGGAUUCACAAAGACGGCUUCGGCCGACUUUGUAAACUCGAUCUCAAAUCAAGUAAGACUACCCGCUGAACUUAAGCAUAUCAAUAAGCGGAGGA